UACGAAGGGGGCUAGCGUUGUUCGGAAUUACUGGGCGUAAAGCGUGCGCAGGCGGUUUUGUAAGCCCGAUGUGAAAUCCCCGGGCUCAACCUGGGAAUGGCAUUUGGGACUGCAAGGCUGGAGUACGGCAGAGGAGACUGGAAUUCCUGGUGUAGCAGUGAAAUGCGUAGAGAUCAGGAGGAAUACCGAUGGCGAAGGCAGGUCUCUGGGCUGAUACUGACGCUCAUGCACGAAAGCGUGGGGAGCAAACAGG
rnacentral:rRNA from 1 species